rnacentral:lncRNA from 1 species
AACACCACAUCCCCAUGGAGACGAGCUUGGUCUAAUCAGACCCAGACGCUCCUGCUCGUCGAGUUGCCUCUUGAGUUCCUUCAACUCUUCUGGACCCAGCUUGUACGGCCGUUUGCACACUGGCUCUGUGCCUGGCUCAAGCUCAAUGACGAACUCCACUUCGCGGUGCGGAGGCAUGCCUGGCAGCUCUUCAGGAAACACGUCUUGAUAUUCACAGACUACUGGAA